CAUAUUUUGGGUUGUUUUUAAAAAUACAUUCAAGAAUUGAGAUAUGGAAAAAUCUCAAACUAGAAUUCAUAAAGUUCAAAUCUUAAAUCCGCUAUCAAAUCCGCUAUCAGCAAUUCAGCGUUGUCUAAUUACAAAAGAAUUUUUCCUACUUAUGCUUCUUCACUAGAGUUGCCUAUAUUGGUAAUAGGACCUUUAAACCAAUGCCUAGCACUGAAGAUCCAUGAAGAAACAACAAGAAUGACAAGGCCAACAACCGCGACUGGAGUAUAGUUGAGAGUUUGAUCUGUAAUAGGGUAGGCAACAGGCAAAGAGAAGAGCACAGAGAUGAGCGCGACCCAAAAUACUGCAACCCAACCUACAAUGACCCCGUAGCUUCCCAAG
rnacentral:misc_RNA from 1 species